UACGGAGGGUGCAAGCGUUGUCCGGAAUCACUGGGCGUAAAGGGCGCGUAGGCGGCUCGGUAAGUAGGGGGUGAAAUCCUGCGGCUUAACCGCAGGGCUGCCUUCUAAACUGUCGAGCUCGAGCACGGUAGAGGCAGAUGGAAUUCCCGGUGUAGCGGUGGAAUGCGUAGAGAUCGGGAAGAACAUCAGUGGCGAAGGCGGUCUGCUGGGCCGUUGCUGACGCUGAGGCGCGACAGCGUGGGGAGCAAACAGGG
rnacentral:rRNA from 1 species